GAUGGUUUUAAAAAUGAGAGUUUCCCUGCACAAGCUCUCUUUCUGCCUGCUGCCAUCCACAUAAGAUGUGGCUUGCUCCUCCUUGCCUUCCACCAUGAUUGUGAGGCUUCCUCAGCCAUGGAACUAAUUGUCCUCUCACUGUGACAUCCAGUCAACACUGGCCUUCAUUCUACGCCUGCUGCCCUGAUGAUUGCACGUUAAUGAAGCACAAAGAGGAGUUAUUACUGUCCAUUUAUUUUCCAUCCCCACAGAUAGUAGUAGGACCAGCCUGUCCUCUUCUUAGUAGGUGGAGAAAAAGGCUUAUUAAAUGUCAAAAAUAUUUUGAGUACUUCUUGGACAGCUUCAGGAGUCAAACCACCUGCAAAGAAUCAUCAGGCCUGCCUCCAUUGAAAGCUGUCUAUUGGGAAGGGACUCUGUCACCCACUUGUGGAACUCAUUGAGUUCUGUCAUGUGGCUUCUUCACCAAAAACAUGCCUUAUGAUUCCUCAUUAGCACAGCUUCUCUUUCUAAAGCUAUUUCCUUUGAUGUAGUGCCCCCCCCCCCAACUAUCUACAUCUCAUUUCAAUUUUACAGCCUCUAUUCUCUGUCCUUGUUUGCAUAGCAGCAAAGGAAAUCUUAAUUGCUUUGUAUUUAUAGUCAGAGUCUAAACUGUUGGAUUAAUUCAUGUAUCAAUUCUGAAAUUCAUUAAAUAAAUAUUGAUUAAAAGAACACUUUUAAUAUACACUGUUAUAAGGAUAUACACUGUUAUAAGGAUAUACACUGUUAUAAGGAUACAACAGUUGAGUAAGACACUUUGGAAAUAGAUAAUGGUGAUGAACACACAAUGCUGUGAAUGUAAUUAAUGCCACUGAAUUGUGUAUUUUAAAGUGGGCACUAUGGAGAAUAAUAUGAAGGUUUUUCAAAAAAACUACAACUAGAAUGGCCAUGUCAUUCAACAAUCUCACUACUGGGAAUUUAUCCAAAGAAAAGGAAAUUAUUAUUUCAAAGAAACAUCUGCACUCUCAUGUUUAUUGCAGCACUAUUAAUAAUAGCCAAGAUAUGGAACCAGCCUAGGUGUCCAACAACAAAUGAAUGGAUAAAGAAAAUAUGGCAUAUAUACACAGUGGAAUACCAUUCCGCCACAAAAAGGAAUAAAAUCCUGUCAUUCAUGGCAAUAUGGAUAUAACUGGAUGACAUUUUGUUAAGUAAAAUAAGGCAGGUAUAGAAAGUUAAACUCCUCACGUUCUUUCAUAUGUGAAAGCUAAAAGAAGUUAAUCAUGGAAAUGAAAAGUAGAAUGCAGGAUACUAGAGGCCGGGAAGGGUAGGUGGAAGAGGGAGUUAGGGAGAAAUGUGUUAAAGGAUACAAAGUUACAGCCACAUAGGAGGAAUAGGUUCUAGUGUCCUAUACCAGUAUAGGAUGACUAUAGUUAAUAACAAUACAUUAUAAGGUUUCAAAUAGCAAGAAGGAAGAUAUUGAAUGCUCCCAACACAGAGAAAUGACAAAUGUUUGAGAUGAUGGGCGUGUUAAUUACCCUGAUCUGAUCACUAUUAUACAUUAUACAUAUCAAAACAUCACUAUGUACCCCAUGAAUAUGUACAAUUAUUAUUUGUCAAUUAAAAGAAUUAAGAAGUUUAUGUUCCAUAUAUUUACUGCAAUAAGAAAAAUGCUUUACCAAAAAAAGCAAUGAAUAAGACAGUCCUGGUCUUCACAGUGCCCAAAGUCUAGUAAGAAAGACAGACCUAUGAAAUAAAGUAUUGUUGGUGAGAAUAUAGAAAGAUGUAAAGGACACGGUGAAUGCAAAGGAGGAUACUGUGAGCUAAAUUCACCUUUUUAUUUUAUUUGUCUUUGUUUUGCUUUUUAGUUAGUGGCAUCUGUUAGAGACAGUUUCUUGAAGUGAGGACUCAAAGAUGAGCAAUUCUCGAGAAACCAGAGGCCCAAGCUCCCUGAAACACUGGAUGCUGUGAUGCAGGCAAUAACAUUUGAAUGACAGUAGAAACCUUGGGUAGUUUAGUCCUAAAUUCAGUACUUCUUUCUACCAUCAUUAAUUUGUCCUACCCAGGACAGAGACUAGGGACUAGUGAGACCCCUAUUUCAUAAAUAAAUAAAUAAAAUUUGUAAAAAAGAGACAGAGGCAUCUAGGGUGCAAAAUUUAAGGAGGCAUUCCCUCUAAGGGACAGGCUGACUUGCAUGACCUUGAAAGUGAGCACCUCCUUUAAUAAUACCCUUAUGAUCAUCAUGGUCCAUAGUAUCCUUCCUGCAGUUGCCUGUUUCCUUGCCUGCCUCCCUAUAUGAACUAUAAAUUGUGCCAUGCGCAUCUUUUUAUCUACUGGGGCUAGAACAAAGUAUGGCACAUAGAAAACACCCAAGGAAUAUUAGUUUGAUUUGGGAAACAUUUUUAAAAUAAAGAAAUGCAUGGCCACAAUCCACUAUAUCCCCUAGGAACCAAGCUCUUCAGACUCUCUUCUCCUUGGCUUCCAUCUCUGUCCUGUCAAGCUGAAGUUUGUUCAGGGUUCAUGUUCUCUGAAGGCUUCCAAGUAGAUACUGUGUCAGUGCCUCUGGAACCCUUCUACUCACCUUUUAUCAGGUUUUUUUCCUCCCUGUGAUUGAUUUUGAAUAGUUGCUCUAUCUUCAAGUCCACUGUCAAAUCCACCAUAAAUUCCAUUCAGAUAAAUUCUCAUUUUAAAUAUUGUAUUUUUUUUAUCUCUAGAAGCUCCAUUGGUUCUAUUUGUAUCUUCUAUUUCUUCACUACGUUUGCAUUUUUCUUUACAUUCUUGGGCACACGGAAUAUACUUAUAGAAACAAUUUCAAUGUCCUUGUUCAUUAAGUUCAUCAUCUCUGUUAUUUCUGGGUAUCUUUCAACUAAUCGAUGUUUCUCCUAGCCGUGGGUCACAUUUUCUUACUUCUUAUGGCUGAAAGUGGAAGUCAAUCCUCACUGUUUUUUUCAUACACAUUUUCAACCUUGUUCUAUUAAAUUAAACAUGACUUUCCCUUGAUGACAGAGCUUGACAGAACUUCCCUCUCAUCUUCACCCGAUGGAUCAUUUUCUCAAUAUCUUCCUCUCCCAGGACCAGGAGGAGGUGUUAGAAGUGACUUUAUCACACUGUUGUUUCUUAGUAAUUAUUCACCUGAAUGUUUUGUUUUGACACACCCAGAAUGGACUUCCACUACAUAGUCCUUUUCUCUAUGAUGUAUCUCUACACCUCCAGGAGUCUCUAUCUUCCUUUUUAGAAGUUCUUAGCGUUGAGUUUACAGUUUCUUUGUCCUAUAUCCUAUUUCCUUUCCUAUUUCCUCAAACUAUCUUGAGUCUUACUUCAAGCAGAAAGUCAAACCAAGUAUAAGUUUCCUCAACUCUGUUCAUCUCCAAAUUUCAUUUCUCUGUACAUUUGCUAAUAUUUUCUUCCCUCCCCUGUCUCCUUGUGGAAUGUGACCACUCUUGGGAAUAACCUUAUUCCCUCCUUCUAUGCACUUGAGUAUAUCCCCAUGGAUUCUCCUAAGCAUUGCUCCUACAAACAUGCUCCUUCUUUUUCCUUCUACUUGCCCAUGGAUAAUGAAUCCCUCAAACAGAUGUAUGCUUUGUUCUUGGUAUAUUAAUAAUAGCCAUCAUAAAAUGUGUCUUGAUUCAUGCCUUAUACUUUCUUAGGUGCUUUUCCUCUUUUCUCUCUUGUACUGGGUAUAUCUUUUAUUCCAGAAAGCUAAUUUUGAUAAUUCCAUUUCCAG
rnacentral:lncRNA from 1 species